GAGACUACAUGGAAAUACCUCUGAAAUCCAUUGGCAAGAGAGCAACAGAAACAUCGUGUAUGUGUGUGUGUACAGAGAUGCUUCUUUAUUAAAACACAGACUCCAAUGUGUAAGUCACGUGACGAUACCCCAUGGCCACCAGCCAUUGUGUCAGAAGAUGAGGAAUGUUGACACUCUUCUCUCUCACCUUGGGAUCUCUGGUGUUGAGAGAAGGACAAGUGCUAGAACCCCUGGAUGAUUGUGAACAGGGCAGAAGACAGAUGGUAGGGGGCUACUGAGCAUGGACAUCGGAUAUUGCUAAAUUAAAUUUAUUCCUCAUAUUACAUUUGGCUCCUAACCCAGACCUACUGAUUGGUGAUAUAAUGCAAAAUGAUGCUACUCUGGUUAUUACUGUUGCCGUGAGUAUUAAAGACCUUUGUCUUUGA